AGAUGACACUGGUUUGGGCUGAAGAAUGUGUUGCAUGCACAAAUUGCUCUGGAUGAAUACUGCAGACAAUCUGGAGCUCAGCCUCUUUUCCCAUCUUUUGGAAAUCCUUCAAUCACCAAGGGAAGGACCCAGGAAUGCUGAAGCUGCCCACCAGGCACAGCUUAUACCCAAGCUCAUCUUCCUAUUCAAUGAGCCGAGCCUCAUCCCCUCCAAGAUCCCCACCAUCAUUGGCAUCCUGGCCUGUCAGCUGAGGGGCCACUUCAGCACCCAGGACUUGCUCAGGAUUGGGCUGUUUGUUGUGUACACCCUCAAGCCUUCGUCGGUGAAUGAGAGGCAGAUCUGCAUGGACGGAGCCCUGGACCCUUCCCUGCCUGCUGGAAGCCAAACAUCUGGAAAGACAAUCUGGCUCAGAAACCAGUUGCUGGAGAUGCUGCUCAGUGUAAUAUCUUCCCCCCAACUUCAUCUGUCCUCUGAGUCAAAGGAAGAGAUGUUUCUGAAACUGGGGCCUGACUGGUUCCUGCUGCUCCUACAGGGCCACCUGCAUGCCAGCACCACUGUACUGGCAUUGAAGCUGCUGCUGCACUUUCUGGCAAGCCCCUCCCUCCGCACACGGUUUAGAGAUGGCCUGUGUGCAGGAUCCUGGGUGGAACGCAGCACUGAGGGCGUGGACAUUGUAAUGGACAACCUGAAGAGCCAGUCGCCACUGCCUGAGCAGAGCCCGUGCCUGCUUCCUGGGUUCCGUGUCUUGAAUGACUUUCUGGCCCACCACGUCCACAUUCCAGAGGUCUACCUCAUCGUGUCCACCUUCUUCCUGCAGACACCACUCACAGAGCUGACGGAUGGGCCCAAAGACAGCCUUGAUGCCAUGCUUCAGUGGCUCCUGCAGAGGCACCGCCAGGAAGAAGUCCUCCAGGCUGGGCUGUGCACAGAAGGUGCCUUGCUGCUCCUGGAAAUGCUGAAAGCCAUCAUGAGCCAGCCCCUGGCAGGUUCUGAGGAUGGUGCCUGGGCACAGACCUUCCUGGCCAGCGUGCUGCAGUUCCUCAGCCUCGUGCACCGCACCUACCCCCAGGACACAGCGUGGCGAGCCCCGGAGUUCCUCCAGACCUUGGCCAUAGCCGCCUUCCCUCUGGGAGCCCAAAAGGGGGCUGGGGCUGAGUCCACCCAGAACACCAGCAGUCCUGAGGCCGCAGCUGAAGGCGACAGCACAGUGGAGGGUCUCCAGGCUCCCACCAAGGCACAUCCCGCCCGGAGGCAGCUGAGGGAGUUCAUGCAGCUCCUCUUGAGGGAGCUCCUGCUUGGAGCCCCCAGCCCCAAGCAGUGCCUGCCCCUGGAGGUGCUCCUGGAGGCUUCUCCAGACCACGCCACCAGCCAACAGAAGCGAGACUUCCAGUCCGAGGUCCUGCUUUCUGCUAUGGAAAUAUUCCACAUGACAAGUGGAGGUGAUGCAGCGAUGUUCAGAGAUGGCAAAGAGCCUCAGCCGAGUGCAGAAGCUGCUGCUGCCCCUUCACUUGCCAACAUCUCCUGCUUCACCCAGAAGCUGGUGGAGAAGCUGUACAGCGGGAUGUUCUCGGCAGACCCCAGGCAUAUCCUCCUCUUCAUCCUGGAGCACAUCAUGGUGAUCUCAGCCCCAUUACAAGCUAGAGACUUUUCCUGACAAGCCUCCAUGCAACCUUUGCUCAAACCCUCCCUGUGAUGGGGAACCCACUAAAGUUCAAGUUGUCCCACCCAGGGCAUGUCUGUGAUUCUUGGAAAGAACUUUCUCUUAUCAAGCUGGGAUCUACCUCCAGCAACUCCUGCCAGCAGUCCUGGGUAUGCCCUCUGCAGCAGAACUAGGAGGACUACUCUCCUUCCUCUUCACAUCUCAUAGAGAGUGAAAUUGGCUCCCAGCACCCUUCAGACUGCGGAGUCACCCACAGACCUCAGGACUGAGCCUCUUCACAGUUUCUAGAGCCAUCUUCACUUGUCUGAUGAGCAGGUCCAGGCAAACCUGGAAAGACUUGAAUUCAAAGGCUUCUUCAGGAACAACUCCAAGAGAGGAGAAAUAGCCCUUGUCAGCUCUGUGAGGGUUAAAAUCAGAUUCCUGGCAAGUUGUGUUGUAAAUGGAAAGAAGCUGCUGAGCUCCCUAUGGCUAAAGCAUGGACUCCCAGCUAAUAUCCCAAACAUAGGUGCCAGUGGGGGCCACCGUGCCUUCAGGGGGACCAGGCCUGAGGGCUUGGCUCCCCACAUAUCCACCAGCCUCCUCUCUUGCUCGCUGUCUGUGAUGCCUGCCCCUCUUAACCUCAGUUUGAGACCCGUCUGAGGAGCAGGAGAGGAACAUGAUAAAGAAAUGAAUCCCAAACUCCAACAGGUUUAAACAGACCUUCACUUCAUGAGUAGAAACAUUGCGUUACCCGUGAAAUUCUAAGGGAGUAGCCUAUAACAAAUUCAUUUUCUAUCGGACUGAAAAACUUUGUGCAUAGUCUUUGUAUUAUGGAUUCUUUUCACGGAAGCCAAACAGAUGUUUGGAGAUGUAUGGACCAGUCCAUGCUAAGGCUACAAAUCAAGGUCUUCUACUUCUCCAAGUUUCUUUUGAACUAAAAUCUUCUGAACUCCAUCUCCAGU
rnacentral:sRNA from 1 species